CCUACGGGAGACAGCAGUGGGGAAUAUUGCACAAUGGGGGAAACCCUGAUGCAGCGACGCCGCGUGAGUGAAGAAGUAUUUCGGUAUGUAAAGCUCUAUCAGCAGGGAAGAAAUAGCGACCUUUGGGUCGCCAGACGGUACCUGAUUAAGAAGCCCCGGCUAACUACGUGCCAGCAGCCGCGGUAAUACGUAGGGGGCAAGCGUUAUCCGGAUUUACUGGGUGUAAAGGGUGCGUCGACGGCAGCGCAAGGCUGAAGUGAAAUGCCGGGGCUUAACCCCGGAACUGCUUUGGAAACUGUGCAGCUAGAGUGCAGGAGAGGUAAGUGGAAUUCCUAGUGUAGCGGUGAAAUGCGUAGAUAUUAGGAGGAACACCAGUGGCGAAGGCGGCUUACUGGACUGUAACUGACGUUGAGGCUCGAAAGCGUGGGGAGCAAACAGGAUUAGAUACCCUGGUAGUC
rnacentral:rRNA from 1 species